AUCGAUAACCAUUUUAUAUGCACAAAGAUCAUUUCAUUAUUGGCCAAAUGGAAAACAAAUAUGUUCAUGCCAUAUUGUUUGAAGCUACUCAAUGAAUAACAUCCAGUAUGACAUGAACCUUUUGAAUAAAUUGGAAUCAUAGAUAUCUAAAUAAGCAACAUCCACCUUCAGGACCUGAUGCACAUAAGAAAUGGCCUCUCAGGAACCAUAUCCAUUCAAGUAGGCUGUAAAGGGAAAGAAAAAUAAAGUUAAAUGAUUAACAAUGUUGAUAGCACAUACCAAAUGACAGGACCAGGAGAUAUGCAGUCAAUAAGCAUGGGAAGGAAAUGCCUUUCCUUAUAUCCUUAGAAGUGAUCCUUAGGAAACGAUAAGAGAACAAGAGUCGGCAUGCACCAUACUAUUAUCGAUACAUUGACUAAGCAAUCAGAAUAAUAUACUUCUCAACAUUUAAUCUGUAUGUUAAAACAAAGGCAAGUGUGCUCUUAUUUGGAUCAUAGAAAACCCAGCAUGACUACUUGACUGCUAUUAUUCCCAGAGGCAAGUUUGGGAAUAUGAUAUCUUUGUAUGAUACUCAAUUCAGUUGAGAAUAUAGCAAGAAACAUCAUCCCACUGUGUAAUCUCUCUCCUUUAUUUGCGUGAUACUUCCCUAAAGCCAACGCCAUGUGGAAUCUUUCUCUACAGUUCACUUGUAUAUACAGGGACCAAUUUGAUCUUUUUCGCAUGAAUGCACCAAUUUUAAGCUACAACCACAGACCACAGAAAAGAGACCAAGAGGAUGUUUUACCCUACCUACAUGAUACAUCUAUAAAUAGCAAAACCACCCUGGAAAUAAACUACAAGUAGAAUGGCACCUGCAUGAAACCAAUCUGUUCUAGCUUCUGAGGUAUGUUAUUAACAAAAUACUAAGACAUUCAUAAACCUUCUUGGCCACAUGCAGUCACAUAGUGUGCCAUGUGAGUCAACAGAUUACUAAACGUAAAUGACAACAUUAUAAUAGCAAAGCACUUGAGUCAACAGAGUACUACACGCAAAUGACAGUAAAACAUGACAACCCAAUGCCAUCCUGCUAUUCAAGCAUUUCUUUAAUCAGGGUUAGAUGCAAGAAUGAAAUUUUGUAGACAAGCAAGAGCAUGUACGACUGUAAUCUAGUAGUAUGAAAUUAGCAAGAACGCGUAUAGUUUUCCAGAAAUACUAAAUACUCCCUCCGACCCAAAAUUCUUGUCUUAGAUUUUUCUAAAUACGAAUGUAUCAAGUCACAUUUUAGUAUUAGAUACAUCCGUAUCUAGACAAAGCUACGACAAGAAUUUUGGGAUGGAGGGAGUACUAAAUAGAAAAAAUCACAUGCUUUUCCUGUUUGAAUUGAUUUAAAAUCUUAUUACUAAUACAUAUAACCAUAUUGACAGGUUUCCUAACUAUAAUCAUUCAGUUUGAUGGAUUAAUCCCUACCCACCUAGUACUGAAAUGAGAAUCAGCUCUGCUUUCAUUCAUGAUGCAAACUCUUGCACGUAAGAACUAAAUUUGAAUCUAGAGGGAGAGGGCGGCUAGAGACUGUGAGGGAGGAAGGAGAGGAAGAUUACUCAUGCCAUGCAAAACUCCUGUAGUGCACGUGGUUUUGAUGGCACACUACAGGUAGGUGCUCAGAGUACUCCAAACUCCUACAAAACUGUACACAAACAGAGUACUUCAGUAGACGAGCCGUUCAAUUGGAGGAGUUCGAAAUUGUAAACAAACUCGUGAAAGUUCAUGUAAUGUUUGCUGCAACAGAAAAGAAGGUGAUCUUGAUAUUAGAGAACCAGUAACGUUUGCAAUAGCAAAAGGUUGGCAUCACCACGAGUAAGCAUAUGAAACACAUGAAGGUUUUCUCUCCUUUUUUGUAAAGUGAACAUGCAUUGGCUUUUAUCCAUUGAGACGUUGACCAAAGAGGCCCUACAUAUAUAUCGUGUACCUUGCUCCUCAAAAACAACAACUCUGUCCUAAGGGGAAAACAUUUAGGGAUUUUUUUAUCACAAGCUAUUUUACUAAUUCAAUUUUCAACAAUAACACUAGGUACGUACAAAUGGCUAGAAAUUCCUAGAGCGACCAAAAUGAAUAGAAACAGGAGUGGAACUUUGGUAAUGCUGGAAAGCUUCCAUUAUUUUUAGGUUGCCAUUGUAACGUUAAAAUAUUCUAACUCCAUUAAAAGGACAUAUUUUGAAAUGAUUUGGCAACACAACCAAAAAUAGGGGCAAACCUAUCACAGUUUUAGGGCAUGAUAGUAUGUAGACAGAAUGACCUAUUAGUUUGUAGAUAACAAAGCACAAAGUUAGAUGAAAGAAAUAUAUGAUUGACCUGUUACUGAAGAGAAAUAAUCACAUCUGGACAAGCACCUCAAAAUGUCCUUUUGACCAAUUACGCAACUGGAC
rnacentral:lncRNA from 1 species